CGGGUGAGUAACACGUAGAUAACCUGCCCUGUAGUGGGGAAUAACAGCCCGAAAGGGUUGCUAAUACCGCAUAAGCUCACUAUUGUCAGAUGGUGAGGAAACCCCUUGGGUAACUGAGGGGGCUAAAGGAGGGGUCUGCGGCGGAUUAGCUAGAUGGUGGGGUAAAGGCCUACCAUGGCGACGAUCCGUAGCUGGUCUGAGAGGACGGCCAGCCACACUGGGACUGAGAUACGGCCCAG
rnacentral:rRNA from 1 species